UAUGUAGGUGGCCUUGUAAGUCGAAUGUGAAAUCCUUUGGCUCAACCAAAGAACUGCAUUCGAAACUGCUUGGAUUGAGUUUGGGAGAGGAGAGUGGAAUUUCCGGUGUAAGAGUGAAAUCUGUAGAUAUCGGAAGGAACACCAGUGGCGAAAGCGACUCUCUGGCCCAAAACUGACACUGAAAUACGAAAGCUAGGGGAGCAAACAGGAUUAGAUACCCUGGUAGUCC
rnacentral:rRNA from 1 species